rnacentral:tRNA from 1 species
GAGGGUAUAGCUCAGUGGUAGAGCACAUGCCUAGCAUGCACAAGAGUCUGGAUUUAAGCCCCAUUACCUCCA